UACGUAGGUGGCAAGCGUUGUCCGGAAUUAUUGGGCGUAAAGCGCGCGCAGGCGGUUCUUUAAGUCUGAUGUGAAAGCCCCCGGCUCAACCGGGGAGGGUCAUUGGAAACUGGGGAACUUGAGUGCAGAAGAGAAGAGCGGAAUUCCACGUGUAGCGGUGAAAUGCGUAGAGAUGUGGAGGAACACCAGUGGCGAAGGCGGCUCUUUGGUCUGUAACUGACGCUGAGGCGCGAAAGCGUGGGGAGCGAACAGG
rnacentral:rRNA from 1 species